rnacentral:rRNA from 1 species
CAGGAUUAGAUACCCUGGUAGUCCANNCCGUAAACGAUGANUGCUAAGUGUUGGAGGGUUUCCGCCCUUCAGUGCUGCAGCUAACGCAUUAAGCANUCCGCCUGGGGAGUACGNCCGCAAGGUUGAAACUCAAAGGAAUUGACGGGGGCCCGCACAAGCGGUGGAGCAUGUGGUUUAAUUCGAAGCNACGCGAAGAACCUUACCAGGUCUUGACAUCCUNUGNNCANUUUAGAGAUNGANCUUNCCCUUCGGGGACAAAGNNACAGGUGGUGCAUGGUUGUCGUCAGCUCGUGUCGUGAGAUGUUGGGUUAAGUCCCGCAACGAGCGCAACCCUUAUUNUNAGUUGCCAUCAUUCAGUUGGGCACUCUAGCAAGACUGCCGGUGACAAACCGGAGGAAGGUGGGGAUGACGUCAAAUCAUCAUGCCCCUUAUGACCUGGGCUACAACAACGUGCUACNAUGGNAAGUACAACGAGUUGCGAANUCGCGAGNNUAAGCUAAUCUCUUAAAGCCANUCUCAGUUCGGAUUGCAGGCUGCAAC